rnacentral:rRNA from 2 species
UACAGAGGGUGCGAGCGUUGUCCGGAAUCACUGGGCGUAAAGGGCGCGUAGGUGGCGGGCCAAGUCCAUGGUGAAAGCUCGAUGCUCAACAUCGAGUCGGCCACGGAUACUGGUUCGCUCGAGCACUGUAGAGGCUAAUGGAAUUCCGGGUGUAGCGGUGGAAUGCGUAGAGAUCCGGAAGAACACCGGUGGCGAAGGCGGUUAGCUGGGCAGUUGCUGACACUGAGGCGCGACAGCGUGGGGAGCAAACAGG